rfam:Spirosoma montaniterrae strain DY10, complete genome.
GAGGUGUAAGCCAAAAAACCUAAAAAGAGUAGGCA